ACCAAUUAAUUCAAUUAAACACCAUUAACAACAAAUUGGACAAAUAACCAGAAAGAGGAAAUUAGGGAAAUUAGGGUUACGUUAAUGUGACUCUCAGCUCUCUCUUUGUGCGACGGCGACAAGAACAUCACUUCCAUGGCCAAAACGACGGUGAUUCAAGCUUCCUCCUCCGGCGCAAUUUCCCUCGACUUCCGUAAACACAACGACAAACGGCAUCGUGUCAUCCCUUCCCUCUCAGUCAACGGAGCGACGGCGCCACUCUCUUCUCCGCUGCGAUUUCUUUCUCUUCAUCUCGGUUUCGAGUCCUCAUAGCUAAAUCACGCAACAGAAAAGAGAAAGCGAAGUACACAGUGGAAGAUUACUCGCCGGAGGACCAUCCGGCUCAGUGUUGUUGAUGGAUGCUGGUGCGUCAUUACUUGAUGAAGAUGAUGAUGAUGCGAAGGUUUACUGUGGCGGUUUCUUCAGAGUUCGAAUCAAAAUUGUUGCAGUUGAAGGUUAUGAAGAUGAAGGUUCGUCUGAUUAUAGAUGGAUAUUGAGAGACGGUUACGAUGAUGAAUUCAGAUAGAAAGAUUGAAGAAUUGUGAAGAUGUUUUUACAGCAUUUUUUGAUUGAAUUUGGAGAAGAAGCUUUAAAGGAUUGAGAGGAUUGAAGCAGAGUGUGAAGUGAUGAAGAUGAUGGCAAAGGUGUGGAAGUGGUGGGGAAGCUGAUGAAUGUGUGAAGAGUAGUGUUAAAGGUUUGAGAGAAGAUUGAAGGUUUUUGGUAGAGAAGGUUAUGGUGUAUGAGGAAUGAUGAAGGUGAAUCGUGGAAGUGGUAGGGGAGUGAAGGAAGAGAAGAAGAAGGCUCAAGAAUAGAUCGAUGCUUGAUUAUAUAUGCUUUCUCAGGUUUACAACAUGAAUAUGACAAGCUUGAACAUGGUUUGGUAGAUGGUGAUAUCGGCUGUACGAAGGGAGAUGGAGACAUUGAUGAUGGUGAAUCCGGAAAGGGCUUAUUGCAGCAGCCAUGCCCAUGACAUUAGGAGCUACUGCAGCUGAAGUUUACUUUGGUGGGAGCAAGUGUGGGUUAUGAAUUGAGUCCAAUCCUUUUUGUUGUCUUUGAAACACAUUAUGUAAAUAAAAAUGCCCUCAAUGUAAUAAUUCAUGGUAGAACUCAUUGAACUUGUUAGGAUUGAUUCUGUUUAUCAACGGCUCAGUCUUGGUUAAUGUCAUAUGGCUAUAAUUGUAAUUGAAUUUUGAAAUGGAAUUUUGGAUAUAAUUGGGCCUUGUAUGGAUAACUUGAAUGAUUUUUGAAUGGAUUAUGGAUGGGUUGUAUUUUGUAAUGA